rnacentral:lncRNA from 1 species
UUGCACUGAUGUUUCUUCAUAGAUAAAUGCUUUUUCCUCCCUUUUUUAGCUAUUUCUUUCCUUUAUACAAUUAAAGGUCUCUCUUUUAUUGCAGAGGGUAUUACAUCCCCUCCUACUCCAAAAGAUCUUUGUCCUUAAGGAUCAAACUGAGGGUAUUGACUCUUGAGGACCCAGUAGUCCUCCUAGAUAGCUUCUCUUUUGCCUAAAUUACUCCAUUGGACU